rnacentral:rRNA from 1 species
UGGGAAUUUUGGACAAUGGGCGCAAGCCUGAUCCAGCCAUGCCGCGUGCGGGAAGAAGGCCUUCGGGUUGUAAACCGCUUUUGUCAGGGAAGAAAUCUUCUGAGUUAAUACCUCGGGAGGAUGACGGUACCUGAAGAAUAAGCACCGGCUAACUACGUGCCAGCAGCCGCGGUAAUACGUAGGGUGCAAGCGUUAAUCGGAAUUACUGGGCGUAAAGCGUGCGCAGGCGGUUUUGUAAGACAGAGGUGAAAUCCCCGGGCUCAACCUGGGAACUGCCUUUGUGACUGCAAGGCUUGAGUGCGGCAGAGGGGGAUGGAAUUCCGCGUGUAGCAGUGAAAUGCGUAGAUAUGCGGAGGAACACCGAUGGCGAAGGCAACCCCCUGGGCCUGCACUGACGCUCAUGCACGAAAGCGUGGGGAGCAAACGGGAUUAGAUACCCUGGUAGUCCACGCCCUAAACGAUGUCAACUGGUUGUUGGGAAGGUUCCUUCUCAGUAACGUAGCUAACGCGUGAAGUUGACCGCCUGGGGAGUACGCCGCAAGGUUGAAACUCAAAGUGAAUUGACGGGGUCAUAGCUGUUUCCU